UAUAAAACGAAAAAGUGGAAGGACACAGAUGCCGCGUGGGAGUGAGCGCAAGUUGGUUGUUCUAAGUGAUUUGAACCAACCCAUUGGUCCUACUGACGAAAUUGUAAAAGAGUUGGGAAGUUUCCUCGGUACAUUGGCAAGAGGAUAUGUGGACAUAUAUCAAGACAAAACAUGACAUUCAUGAUGAUGGAAGAGAGUGGGUUUUUCAAUCAAUUCAAAAUGCUUGGAGAAGGUAUAAGUGUUGGUUGAAGAAAAAAUUCUAUGACGCCUAUGCCAAUGACGAACUUCGAAUGGAAAAAAAGCCUUCAUAUGUUUCAGAAUUUGAGUUUAAGUACCUUCUUGAAUACUGGAAGUCUGAUAAAGCUCAGCAAACUUCGAAAACUAAUACUGAGAAUCGAAAAAAGUUAAAGAAUCCACACACUGCUGGCAAAAAAAGUUUUGCCACAAUCCGCGAGGUUCGGUAUUUUCUCUUAUUUUUCAUUAAUAUGAACUUUUUAACCUUACUUGGUAAAAUUCUUAUGCUGACUUUCACGUAACUAGAAAAAAAAAGAAGGAAACUUUUGAGGAACCAUCAAGUAAGGACAUGUUUGUGGCUACGAGAUCAAGAAAACCCGGUCGAGUAUACAAGGAAUCAUAUGAAGAUACAAUGCGCAAAAUUGCUGAAAUGGAGCAAAUAAAACUCAAGAAAGUGAAGAUGAUAGCCAAUCAAUUGACGCAUUUGCAACAGUCAUGGGACCUAAACAUCCAGGUCGCGUAAGAUUGUAUGGUCGUGGGGUUACAAAGACUAUCUUGAAACAAAAAUCUGAAAAUUCUGGACCCUCUUCAAAGACUACUGAUGAGAUAAUGGAGCAAAAAAUGAAGGAAAUGGAAGAGAGAAUGCAACAAAGGAUGCAGAAAAACUUCAAGGAACAACAGGAAACUUGGCGGCAACAAAUUACACUUAAUGUUGUUGCACAACUUCAGCAUAUUAACCCAGAUUUACGAAUUGAUCCUAAUAUGCUAGCAGCAGUACUAAUCAAGGUGGAGAAAAUGAAUAAAGGGAAGAUCAAAGGAAUGAAGAUCAUGCUUAACUUUUGUACUUGGCUCUUAACUUUUGGAUUGUAAAACUUAUGUACUUGGCUCUUAACUUUUGGAUUAUUAAACUUAUGUACAUGGGUUCUAAUAUUUUGCUUUUACGGAUAUUACA